UCAACGCUGGCGGCGUGCCUAACACAUGCAAGUCGAGCGCGAAAGUGGGCUUCGGCUCACGAGUAGAGCGGCGAACGGGUGAGUAACGCGUGGGUGAUCUACCUCCGAGUGGGGAAUAACACCGGGAAACUGGUGCUAAUACCGCAUGACAUCCUCGGUUCGUUCCGAGGAUCAAAGCCGGGGACCGCAAGGCCUGGCGCUUGGAGAGGAGCCCGCGUCCGAUUAGCUUGUUGGCGGGGUAAUGGCCCACCAAGGCUUCGAUCGGUAGCCGGCCUGAGAGGGCGGACGGCCACACUGGGACUGAGACACGGCCCAGACUCCUACGGGAGGCAGCAGUGGGGAAUUUUUCGCAAUGGGGGAAACCCUGACGAAGCAACGCCGCGUGGAGGAUGAAGGCCCUCGGGUCGUAAACUCCUGUCGAUCGGGAAGAAUGCACUCGGCCUAAUACGUCGUGGUGUUGACUGUACCGGUGGAGGAAGCCACGGCUAACUCU
rnacentral:rRNA from 1 species